UAUGGCCACAUCAGGUUGAGACAAUGGUUCCUAUACGAUCACUGAAGUUAAGGAAUGUCGAGCCUGGUCAGUACUUCGAUGGGUAACUGCUUGGGAAUACGAGAUGCUGUAAG